AAAAAAAGCCGGAAUAGCUCAGUUGGUAGAGCAGAGGACUGAAAAUCCUCGUGUCAC
rnacentral:tRNA from 1 species